rnacentral:rRNA from 1 species
GAGUUUGAUCCUGGCUCAGAUUGAACGCUGGGGUGCGGCAGGCCUAACACAUGCAAGUCGAGCGGUAGAGAGAAGCUUGCUUCUCUUGAGAGCGGCGUGACGGGUUUGGUAUGUAAUGCCUAGGAUAUCUGCCUGGUAGUGGGGGAUAACGCUCGGAAACGUGACGCUAAUACCGCAUACGUCCGGGUUACGGGAGAAAGCAGGGGACCUUCGGGCCUUGCGCUAUCAGAUUGAGCCUAGGUCGGAUUAGCUAGUUGGUGGGGUAGGUAAUGGCUCACCAAGGCGACGAUCCGUAACUGGUCUGAGAGGAUGAUCAGUCACACUGGAACUGAGACGGGUACGGUCCAGACUCCUACGGGAGGCAGCAGUGGGGAAUAUUGGAAUGGUGGGCGAAAGCCUGAUCCAGCCAUGGGUGCCGCGUGUGUGAAGAAGGUCUUCGGAUUGUAAAGCACUUUAAGUUGGGAGGAAGGGCAUUAUUACCUAAUACGGGUGUUAGUGUUUUGACGUUACCGACAGAAUAAGCACCGGCUAACUCUGUGCCAGCAGCCGCGGUAAUACAGAGGGGUGGUGCAAGCGUUAAUCGGAAUUACUGGGCGUAAAGCGCGCGUAGGUGGUUUGUUAAGUUGAAUGUGAAAUCGGGUCCCGGGCUCAACCUGGGAACUGCAUCCAAAACUGGCAAGCUAGAGUUUAUGGUAGAGGGUGGUGGAAUUUCCUGGGUGUGUAGCGGUGAAAUGCGUAGAUAUAGGAAGGAACACCAGUGGCGAAGGCGACCACCUGGACUGAUACUGAGGGUCACUGAGGUGCGAAAGCGUGGGGAGCAAACAGGAUUUUAGAUACCCUGGUAGUCCACGCCGUAAACGAUGUCAGGGUACUAGCCGUUGGGGACCUUGAGUCCUUAGUGGCGCAGCUUUAACGCAUUAAGUUGACCGCCUGGGGAGUACGGGGGUGGGUCCGCAAGGUUAAUGGAACUCAAAUGAAUUGACGGGGGCCCG